rnacentral:lncRNA from 1 species
AACCUGAGACCCGACCCGCGUAUAAUUGACCCAUCCUUUUAUGUCUGCAGUCCCCCUCCAAAACCCUAAUCGUCCUCUCUAAAUCUUCCGAAAGAGCAGAACAGCCAAACAAAAAUGGUGAAGAAAAGCAAGAGUAAGUACAUGAACCUCCAUUCCGUUAAAUUUUUAUUCAGUUAUCAGCCAGUCGCAAAACUUUUUUGCAGAUUAUAUUGACAAAUCUGUAAAUGUUUUGCAGAGAGUAAGAGCAAGAGGGUGUCAUUGAAGAAGAAGUAUAAAAUUAUAAGGAAAGUGAAGGAGCAUCAUAAGAAGAAGUCCAAAGAGGCUAAGAAGCUGGGCCUUAAUAAGAAAUCUAAGGUAGAGAAGGACCCAGGAAUUC